AGGUGGAAGCCAUCCUCAUGACCAUCUAAGACCCUGAGAUGUCUAAUCCUUCAAGGUAGCGUAUUGGUGAGAGAGACACUCCCACUGGCCUCAAAGAAGCAAGCUGCAGUCAUAUGAACUCUCCACGGGACAGGUCACCCUGUGGGAAACUGCAGGAGUCCUCAGGGAGCUGAGCACCUGGACCCUACCUGCACAAGGAGCUGGAUUCUGCUGAUGCUCAUAUAAGCUUGAACAAGGACCCUGAAGUUUGGAAAGGACCAUGCCUGGUGUCACCUUGACUGUGCCUCUUGAGACUACAUGCUGAGGACCUAGUCAAGCUGUGCAUGAAUUCUUGACCUAGGAAAACAGUGAGGGAAAGGAGAGGAUUUUUCUUAGGGUCCAUAUUCCUGAGAAAUCAGAGAGUGUGGUGCACACAUGCAUCAUAAGCAGACCAGCAGCAGCAAGCAUAGCUGAAAAGGUAGAUGAGUUCUGACA